rnacentral:rRNA from 1 species
AGCGAACGCUGGCGGUAGGCCUAACACAUGCAAGUCGAACGGCAGCACCGUACGAGCUUGCUCUUAUGGGUGGCGAGUGGGGGACGGGACAGGUAUGCAACCGAAUCUUCAUUUUCGGGGGGGUUAACGUAGGUAAACUUACGCUAGUACCGCAUACGACCCACGGGGGAAAGCAGGGGAACUUCGCAGCUGGCGGGAGUGGAUGGGCCGGUGGCUGAUUAGCUAGUUGGCGGGGGAGUGGCCCACCAAGGCGUUGAUGGGUAGCCGGCCUGAGAGGGUGACCGGCCACAUUGGGACUGAGAUACGGCCCAGACUGCUACGGGAGGCAGCAGUGGGGAAUAUUGCACGAUGGGCGGGAGCCUGAUGCAGCAACGCCGCGUGCGGGAUGACGGCCUGCGGGUUGUAAACCGCUUUCGCCUGUGACGAAGCGUGAGUGACGGUAAUGGGUAAAGAAGCACCGGCUAACUACGUG